rnacentral:rRNA from 1 species
AGCGAACGCUGGCGGCAGGCCUAACACAUGCAAGUCGAACGAACCUUUCGGGGUUAGUGGCGGACGGGUGAGUAACACGUGGGAACGUGCCUUUAGGUUCGGAAUAACUCAGGGAAACUUGUGCUAAUACCGAAUGUGCCCUUCGGGGGAAAGAUUAAUCGCCUUUAGAGCGGCCCGCGUCUGAUUAGUUAGUUGGUUGAGGUAAUGGCUCACCAAGGCGACGAUCAGUAGCUGGUCUGAGAGGAUGAUCAGCCACAUUGGGACUGAGACACGGCCCAAACUCCUACGGGAGGCAGCAGUGGGGAAUCUUGCGCAAUGGGCGAAAGCCUGACGCAGCCAUGCCGCGUGAAUGAUGAAGGUCUUAGGAUUGUAAAAUUCUUUCACCGGGGACGAUAAUGACGGUAACCGGAGAAGAAGCCCCGGCUAACUUCGUG